rnacentral:rRNA from 1 species
UGGGCUUGACAUGUUGGUGGUACUGCCCCGAAAGGGAAGGGAAUCUGAUUUUAUCAGAUAGCCAAUAC